rnacentral:rRNA from 1 species
GACGAACGCUGGCGGCGUGCUUAACACAUGCAAGUCGAACGGAAAGGCCCUGCUUUUGUGGGGUGCUCGAGUGGCGAACGGGUGAGUAACACGUGAGUAACCUGCCCUUGUCUUUGGGAUAACUUCAGGAAACUGGGGCUAAUACCGGAUAGGAGCUCCUGCUGCAUGGUGGGGGUUGGAGAAUUUCGGCGGUUGGGGCUGGACUCGCGGCUUAUCAGCUUGUUGGUGGGGUAGUGGCUUUCCAAGGCUUUGACGGGUAGCCGGCCUGAGAGGGGUACCGGCCACAUGGGGACUGAGAGACGGCCCAGACUCCUACGGGAGGCAGCAGUGGGGAAUAUUGCACAAUGGGCGGAAGCCUGAUGCAGAAACGCCGCGUGCGGGAUGACGGCCUUCGAGUUGUAAACAGCUGUCGACGGAGACGAAGCGUGAGUGACGGUAAUGGGUAAAGAAGCAACGGCUAACUACGUG